AAGUGACAGGGCAUGUACUGAGUCACAAAAGCCUGCUGUGAGGGGGCGUGUGCCUGGAAAGGGAGCUCACAGCACAGAGAAUUUUGCAAGCCAGGUGAAGAUCCUAAAGGUUGGACUUCAUGCUAGAAGCCAUGGACAGCCUGUGAUGGGCUCCAGACCAAGGAAAAGUCCCGUCCAGGGGACUCUUUGGCCUGUCAUAUGAAGAUGAUGUUUCAAGAUUUAUGUUUCCCCAAAGAAGCAAGUAGAUCAUAAAACCUAAUGUAUUCCGUGAUUUGGAAUGAUAAUUUCACCAAGAAGUGAGGGAAUAUUUCACUGCGAAUUGUUACAAC
rnacentral:lncRNA from 1 species